rnacentral:rRNA from 1 species
AAGUCGAGCGAACAGACGAGGAGCUUGCUCCUCCGACGUUAGCGGCGGACGGGUGAGUAACACGUGGAUAACCUACCUAUAAGACUGGGAUAACUUCGGGAAACCGGAGCUAAUACCGGAUAAUAUAUUGAACCGCAUGGUUCAAUAGUGAAAGACGGUUUUGCUGUCACUUAUAGAUGGAUCCGCGCCGCAUUAGCUAGUUGGUAAGGUAACGGCUUACCAAGGCAACGAUGCGUAGCCGACCUGAGAGGGUGAUCGGCCACACUGGAACUGAGACACGGUCCAGACUCCUACGGGAGGCAGCAGUAGGGAAUCUUCCGCAAUGGGCGAAAGCCUGACGGAGCAACGCCGCGUGAGUGAUGAAGGUCUUCGGAUCGUAAAACUCUGUUAUUAGGGAAGAACAAAUGUGUAAGUAACUAUGCACGUCUUGACGGUACCUAAUCAGAAAGCCACGGCUAACUACGUGCCAGCAGCCGCGGUAAUACGUAGGUGGCAAGCGUUAUCCGGAAUUAUUGGGCGUAAAGCGCGCGUAGGCGGUUUUUUAAGUCUGAUGUGAAAGCCCACGGCUCAACCGUGGAGGGUCAUUGGAAACUGGAAAACUUGAGUGCAGAAGAGGAAAGUGGAAUUCCAUGUGUAGCGGUGAAAUGCGCAGAGAUAUGGAG